rnacentral:rRNA from 1 species
CCUACGGGAGUCAGCAGUAGGGAAUAUUGCUCAAUGGGGGAAACCCUGAAGCAGCAACGCCGCGUGGAGGAUGAAGGUUUUCGGAUUGUAAACUCCUUUUGUUAGAGAAGAUAAUGACGGUAUCUAACGAAUAAGCACCGGCUAACUCCGUGCCAGCAGCCGCGGUAAUACGGAGGGUGCAAGCGUUACGAGGAAUGAGUUGGCGUAACGAGCGCGUAGGCGGGAUAGCAAGGCAGAUGUGAAAUCCUAGGGCUUAACCAUAGAACUGCAUUUGAAACUGUUAUUCUAGAGUAUGGGAGAGGUAGGUGGAAUUCUUGGUGUAGGGGUAAAAUCCGUAGAGAUCAAGAGGAACACUCAUUGCGAAGGCGACCUGCUAGAACAUAACUGACGCUGAUGCGCGAAAGCGUGGGGAGCAAACAGGAUUAGAUACCCUAGUAGUC